rnacentral:snRNA from 1 species
UGGCUAUCAAUAUACUAAAAUUGGAAUGAUACAGAGAAGAUUACCAUGGCACCUGCACAAG